CAGUAGCCGCGGGAAUACGUAGGGUGCGAGCGUUAAUCGGAAUUACUGGGCGUAAAGCGUGCGCAGGCGGUUGUGUAAGACAGGUGUGAAAUCCCCGGGCUUAACCUGGGAACUGCGCUUGUGACUGCACAGCUAGAGUAUGGCAGAGGGGGGUGGAAUUCCACGUGUAGCAGUGAAAUGCGUAGAGAUGUGGAGGAACACCGAUGGCGAAGGCAGCCCCCUGGGCCAAUACUGACGCUCAUGCACGAAAGCGUGGGGAGCAAACAGGAUUAGAUACACGCGUAGUCCCUGUCUCUUAUAC
rnacentral:rRNA from 1 species